rnacentral:rRNA from 1 species
AAUGAACGCUGGCGGCAGGCCUAAUACAUGCAAGUCGAACGAGUGGCGGACGGGUGAGUAAUGUCUGGGAAACUGCCUGAUGGAGGGGGAUAACUACUGGAAACGGUAGCUAAUACCGCAUUCCAUUAGCUGUGAUCAGACGGGAUUAGCUAGUGGGUGGGGUAACGGCUCACCUAGGCGACGAUCCCUAGCUGGUCUGCGAGGAUGACCAGCAACACUGGAACUGAGACACGGUCCAGACUCCUACGGGAGGCAGCAGUAGGGAAUAUUGCGCAAUGGGCGCAAGCCUGAUGCAGCCACGCCGCGUGAAUGAAGAAGGCCUUCGGAUUGUAAAGUACUGUCAGCGGGGAGGCGUUACCCACAGAAGAAGCACCGGCUAACUCCGUGCCAGCAGCCGCGGUAAUAC